AUUGAACGCUGGCGGCAGGCUUAACACAUGCAAGUCGAGCGGGGGAGGUUGCUUCGGUAACUGACCUAGCGGCGGACGGGUGAGUAAUGCUUAGGAAUCUGCCUAUUAGUGGGGGACAACAUUCCGAAAGGGAUGCUAAUACCGCAUACGCCCUACGGGGGAAAGCAGGGGAUCUUCGGACCUUGCGCUAAUAGAUGAGCCUAAGUCGGAUUAGCUAGUUGGUGGGGUAAAGGCCUACCAAGGCGACGAUCUGUAACGGGUCUGAGAGGAUGAUCCGCCACACUGGGACUGAGACACGGCCCAGACUCCUACGGGAGGCAGCAGUGGGGAAUAUUGGACAAUGGGCGGAAGCCUGAUCCAGCCAUGCCGCGUGUGUGAAGAAGGCCUUUUGGUUGUAAAGCACUUUAAGCGAGGAGGAGGCUCUUAAGGUUAAUACCCUUGAUGAGUGGACGUUACUCGCAGAAUAAGCACCGGCUAACUCUGUGCCAGCAGCCGCGGUAAAAC
rnacentral:rRNA from 1 species